GCCUCAGUGGUGUAGUGGUAGAGCACGCGUCCUCGUAUAGGAUGAAACGUGGGUUCGAUUCCCGCCUGAGGCC